rnacentral:rRNA from 1 species
GACGAACGCUGGCGGCGUGCUUAACACAUGCAAGUCGAACGCUGAAGCCCUUUCGGGGGUGGAUGAGUGGCGAACGGGUGAGUAACACGUGGGUAAUCUGCCCUGUACUUCGGGAUAAGCCUUGGAAACGGGGUCUAAUACCGGAUAGGACCUGUCCUCGCAUGGGGGUGGGUGGAAAGUUCCGGCGGUAUGGGAUGAGCCCGCGGCCUAUCAGCUUGUUGGUGGGGUAGUGGCCUACCAAGGCGACGAUGGGUAGACGGCCUGAGAGGGUGGCCGGUCACACUGGGACUGAGACACGGCCCAGACUCCUACGGGAGGCAGCAGUGGGGAAUCUUGCGCAAUGGGCGAAAGCCUGACGCAGCAACGCCGCGUGGGGGAUGACGGCCUUCGGGUUGUAAACCUCUUUCGACAUCGACGAAGGGGCCCUGUUGUGGGGUUUUGACGGUAGGUGUAGAAGAAGCACCGGCUAACUACGUGCCAGCCGCCGCAGUAA